CGGGAUUCACCACUCACGGCCACCAGUGGUGACCUUAAGGCCUCACCAUGGCGAGGGUUUCGGGCGCCUCCACACUGGCGUGGCUCCGACAGCUCUUCUCCGACGCCCACCGCGCCCCCACACGCAGCUCCGUCUCCAAGAUGUUUCUCCGCAACCAGGUGGCCAUGGGGUGAGACGGGUAAGGAUUGGAUGCUUGAGGAAGGAGGGGUCGACCUUGCCUUGCUGCAGCUCGGGACGCACCACCAUGGACCGUCCUCCUUUCUGUCUUUCAAUCUUCCGUUAUGCAGUAGCCAUCCAAAAAAAAUACAUUGUUGGGCACCCUUGACGACUAAAACAGAGAGAGUGGGAUAAUCAAUUCCUUGGUAUCUCUAUCCUCAACCAAACUACGGAUCAUCCAACCUUCGGUCAGGUUCAUUAUUCUUCAACCUUAGUGCUGCAUAUCCCUAUUUGAAUGAUACUUGGUGCAUAAAAUUAGUGAUUCAGAACAAUCAUUUUUUUUCUUUGUUACGAACAAAUCUACAACUCUCCCAAAUAGAAGAUUACCACUAAAAGAGAACAACUAUUAGUCUUGAUAGGUGAAGUCAGAUUGUGUACUGACAUGUUGUAAUCUCUGUAUCCUAUUUCUUGCCACUGCUUGUGUUAUUUUGCUUACACAGAGUGGCCAUGUUUAUCUUAAAUUUCCUUUGUCAAUUGCCUUUAAGUUAACAAAUCAGGGUAAUAAAUAGAAUGUGUCUGUUCCAUUACCCACAACUGUACCAUUAUCUACUAUUGAAUAGUUGGAUCAAUAAACUUCUCGUAAUCUUUUAUUGUAGAAGAGCAAUGUUCUACCUGCUUAUAAUUAUAUGUCAUUCCUGAGUUGUUAUUUGUAAGAUGAUGAUGAUUGAUAAGAAUUUAUGCCAUUCUUUCUCCUGCCCCCUUCUCUCUGUAGAGUUAACUACCCGUGGAGGUUUGAGGAAGAGCUCGCUGGGCAAAUUCGUUGGUGGGCUCAGUCGGCGAACGACAGAGACACUCCGGCAAGGUCGAGCCGGCGGCUAGGCUUAGCCAAAAGGAGGGCUCUGGAGGUCAUGGGCAGCAAGGGCAGUAACUGGCAACACGAAUGGGUUACCAUGUUGUAAUGAAAGUCGUGGGCUUAUGGGUUCUUGACUCGUGAGUCAUGCUUACUGGGCUAAGGGCAUCUGAUAUUUUCUUGAUUCUG